AACGAACGCUGGCGGCAGGCUUAACACAUGCAAGUCGAGCGCCCUGCAAGGGGAGCGGCAGACGGGUGAGUAACGCGUGGGAAUCUACCGAGCCCUGCGGAAUAGCUCCGGGAAACUGGAAUUAAUACCGCAUACGCCCUACGGGGGAAAGAUUUAUCGGGGUUUGAUGAGCCCGCGUUGGAUUAGCUAGUUGGUGGGGUAAAGGCCUACCAAGGCGACGAUCCAUAGCUGGUCUGAGAGGAUGAUCAGCCACAUUGGGACUGAGACACGGCCCAAACUCCUACGGGAGGCAGCAGUGGGGAAUAAUGGACAAUGGGGGCAACCCUGAUCCAGCCAUGCCGCGUGAGUGAUGAAGGCCUUAGGGUUGUAAAGCUCUUUCACCAGAGAAGAUAAUGACGGUAUCCGGAGAAGAAGCCCCGGCUAACUUCGUGCCAGCCGCCGCGGUAAAAC
rnacentral:rRNA from 1 species